rnacentral:lncRNA from 1 species
UUUGUAGCUUUGGGCCUUGUGGUGCAUUCACUGAAGUCAGUAAUUGCCCACUGGGAACUAUUUUUAAUAGUUCUCACGCCCCUGUUUUAUGGUUUACUUUUCAGAGCCUUCGGCACCGGCGGAGGCACGGGAUCGCGGCAAGGGGAUCGCUUAGCUAGCUAGCGAGGAGCGGUUCUUUGCCUAGGUGGUUUGCUCUUUCUUUUUGUAGUUGGGAGAGUGAGAGAUUUUGUAUCCAUGUGUAGAGACCACCUAUGUACCUACUUUUAGCACUUGUAUUUGGGAUUUCCUAUUGUAUUUACUUUAUGUCUUAUUUAGUGAAUUUACAGUUUUAUCCUUAUUUCUUGUUGUAGCAUUUAGACAUUUAUUACGCUCUGAUACACCUAGAUGUCUUUUAUUAUGGCUUUAUUAUUGUUGUUUUUAGACGCCUUAUAUGUUGUAGACAUAUGGCGGGUCUGGGCACGCGCCGGGCGGGCUUCCGCUGGGUCCCGGGGCGUGACAGAUUAAUUUGGUAUCAGAGCCUAGGGUUGAGUCUUAGGGGACCUAGCAAAUCUUAGGCCGGUUGGACUAUAGGAAAUAGGCUCGUGAGAGACGAGGUCUAUUUGAUUUGUAAGCGAAAGUAUCUUGAUUGGGUAUCUUUGAUAACUCUUGAAUAUGGAGUUAAAUUGAAGUGUAUAGCUCCUAACUCCGCGGAGGGGUACGUUGGCGGCCGACAACAUAACAUCGGGAGUUAGUGGUGAGGAACACUUCCUUACUUUCACAUGAUUUGGGUAUUGUCUUUUGAGCGAGGAUGCGUUCGCGUGGGUUUUACUAACUUACGCUUUUAUGAUAUUGUAGUGACGAUGCCGAUUACUCGCUCCCAAUCUGCCGGGGCGGACAAUGCGGCAAACCUUGAGGAGGUCGAGACCUCCGCUACCUCCGGAUCCAGCGAGGUCCGCGAGUUGAGGGGCCAGUUUGCGGCCCUCACUGAUUUAGUCACUCAGCAGGCGGAGGCGGCCCAACAGCAGACCGAGGCGGCGCGCCGACAGGAGGCGCGGAUGAAGCGUUUGGAGGACCUACUACUGCAGCAGACAGCGGCUUCUAGGGAGACUCAGGCCCCUACACCGCCAGCACUAGUUGUGGACGUUGCACCGAGAACGCCGUCCCCCGCGCCCAGUUCUUCGCGUGCGCGCCUGUGGCCGCACCCCAGGAGGAGGUCUUGGCAGCACCACCUGUGCAGAGGCCCCCAGUUGGAGCAGCUUUCCCUACUUUGGUUGAGGGGGCGGAGUGAGAUAGACUGAUGGAGCGCCUCAAUAAGUUCAGGAGGUGCAGCCCCCGAGUCUUCGACGGCGAGAAGGUCGACCACUGGAUCGUGGAGAAGUGGUUGAUGCAUAUGGAGAAGCUCUUCCGCGACACCUUCGUGGAGGAGAGGGAUCGAGUUUGGCUCGCCAUCACCACUUGAUCGAGCCUAACCGCUAGUGGUUGGAUCUCCAGGAGAACCCCAGCACGGACUUGGCAGCUAUCACUUGGACGAGGUUCAAGGAGCUUCUUUUGGCGCACUACUUUCCGACCAGCGUCAAGAGGAAGAUGGAGCAGAAUUUGCGCAGUUUGCUCCAGGGUGACAGGACCGUAGCCGAGUACGAGAGGGAGUUUUCUCGGCUUCUGCAUUGCGUGCCCUUCGUCGUGCGUGACGACGAGGACAAGGCCCGCAUCUUCGAGCGAGGAUUGAGACCGUCUAUCUUCCGGUUUGUGCAAUCAUCUAACCUCCAAACCUACCGGGAGGUGGUGGAUCGCGCGCUCAUUAUGGAGAGCGGCACGGCGGAUUUCUAGGAGCAACGAGAGACUAGGGACAAAGGGAAGGCCAAGAGGCCUGCGGCUGAGGGUGCGAGCCAGACGCACUCUAGGAGGCCGCCGAAACAUUCGAGGAGCCAGCAGCGUGGGCGCAGCUCAGCAGCCCAGCGAGGAGGUUAUGACCGACGUCGGCCCUCCCCGUGUGUGAUCUGUGGUGGUCCUCAUCACCCACCGCAGUGUCCACAACGGGCGGGCAGGUGCUUCCAGUGUGGCCAGGAGGGCCACAUGCGGACUGAGUGCCCGAGAGGUUCUUCACCGGCACCAUCGACUGCAUCGGCACCGGCUUUACCAGCCGCCAGCCAGGGGACUCCGUCAGCGCAGUAUCAGCUUGGGCAGCCACCCGUCCAGCGCCAGAGCGAGGGAUCUCGACAGGCCCCGAGUGGGCGCAUAUACGCCGCUCAGACUGCGGAGGCGGCUGCAGUCGAGGAUGUGGUUGCAGGUAUUAUUUUACUUGAUGGCAUUAGAGUUCGUGCUUUAUUUGAUACCGGUGCAUCGUAUUCAUUUAUCGAUAGGCUGUUUGCCGAGUUGCAUGGCAUUCAAUUGGUUCCUUUGUUGCAUACGAGACAUGUUGUUGUCCUCGACCACGUUUUGGAUAUUAGAGAGUAUAACCCCAGUUGCCCUGUUCGGGUAGGAGAAUGGAUCAUGCCCGUGGAUUUGCUAGCCUUGCGCAAGCUGGGGGACUUUGACGUGGUCUUGGGCAUGGAUUGGUUGACCAAGUACUAUACCACGAUUGAUUGUAAGAAUCGCACGGUUACUUUUAGAGAACCGGGGCAAACCGAGGUGGUAUUUUGUGGAUGCCGGAGUUCGCUGUUUGCGACGACGAUCAGCUCGUCUCGAGCUAGGCAGCUGAUCAGCAGAGGUUGCGUAGCCUAUUUGGCUAGUGUUGUGUUGAGGGGCGAGGAUGAUACCCUUAGGAUUGAGGAUAUUCCGGUGGUGCGAGAGUUUCAGGAUGUGUUUCCAGCUGAGCUACCGGGUAUGCCUCCUGAUAGGGAGAUUGAGUUUGUGGUAGAUCUCGUCCCUGGGACUACCCCAAUCUCAAUGGCACCCUAUAGGAUAGCACCGGCGGAGCUGAAGGAGCUGAGAGCAUAGCUACAGGAUUUGCUGGACAAGGGCUUUAUUCGCCCGAGCGUCUCGUCUUGGGGAGCACCAGUUUUGUUCGUCAAGAAGAAGGACGAAUCGCUUCGCCUUUGUGUGGAUUAUCGUGAACUCAAUAAAGUCACGAUUAAGAACAAAUAUCCGUUGCCGAGGAUCGACGACUUGUUUAAUCAGCUUCAGGGAUCGUGUGUGUAUUCCAAGAUAGACUUACAGUCUGGAUACCACCAAUUGAAGAUUAAACUCGAGGAUGUAUCGAAGACGGCUUUUAGAACACGGUAUGGACAUUACGAGUUCACAGUUAUGCCGUUCGGGCUUACUAAUGCCCCGGCAGCUUUUAUGGAUCUAAUGAACCGUGUUUUCAAGCCUUAUCUAGACAGGUUCGUUGUGGUGUUCAUCGACGACAUUUUGGUCUACUCUCGAAGUGAUGCAGAUCACGAGGAGCAUUUGAGAAUUGUACUCCAAGUACUUCGGGAAAAGGAGCUUUAUGCCAAGUUGAAGAAAUGUGAAUUUUGGCUUCGAGAGGUAGCCUUCCUUGGACACUUGAUUUCAGGAUCAGGUAUAGCAGUGGAUCCCAAGAAGAUCGAAGCAAUCAAGGAUUGGCCGAGACCGACGAGCGUCACGGAGAUACGGAGCUUCCUUGGAUUGGCCGGUUACUACCGGAGAUUUGUAGAGGGGUUUGCUAAACUGUCUACUCCCCUCACGAGGCUCACACAUAAAGGAGUCAAGUUCAUUUGGAAUGAUGCGUGCGAGCGAAGCUUCCAAGAGUUGAAGUAGAGAUUGACGACCGCCCCGAUCUUGACCCUACCAGUAGCUGGAGCAGGGUAUGUGGUUUAUAGUGAUACUUCACUUAUUGGAUUGGGCUGUGUAUUGAUGCAGGAUGGCAAGGUGAUAGCGUAUGCUUCUCUCCAACUAAAAGAAUAUAAAAAGAACUACCCGACGCAUGAUUUGGAGUUGGCAGCCGUGGUGUUCGUGUUGAAGCUAUGGCGCCACUAUUUUUAUGGCGAGCGGUGUGAGGUGUACACGGAUCACAAGAGCUUAAAGUACCUGUUUACUCAGAGGAAGUUGAACUUGAGGCAGCGCAGAUGGUUGGAGCUACUCAAGGAUUAUGAUCUGACGAUCCUUUACCACCCGGGCAAGGCUAACGUGGUGGCGGAUGCGCUAAGUAGGAAAUCGAUGAAAAACUUAGCGUUGCAUGUUGUGACUCAACCGCAGUUGAUUGAGCAGAUAAAGCGGUUGGAGUUGGAGAUAGUGACUCCUGACAAACCCUUGAGAUUGAUGACCUUGGUGGUGCAACCUACUCUUUUGGAUAGAAUCAAAGAGAAGCAAGUUUCCGAUUUGGACUUGCAAAGGAUUCGAGGUAAAAUGGUUGAUGGAUGCACCGGCGACUUCCUUUUGGAUGAUCUGGGAUUGAUGCGUUUUCGUGGGCGGAUUUGUGUACUCGCGGAUUCGGGGAUUAAAGAAGACAUUCUUCAAGAAGCGCACCGGGCGCCCUAUGCUAUACAUCCUGGUGGCAUCAAGAUGUAUAAGGACUUAAAGUUGCUCUAUUGGUGGCCCGGGAUGAAAAAGGAUGUUGGCGAGUUCGUUGUUAGAUAUUUAACUUGCCAACAAGUGAAAGCGGAGCACCGAGUUCUCGCAGGGAAGCUUCAGAGUUUACCUAUUCCUGUGUGAAAGUGGGAGAAUAUCACCAUGGACUUCGUGACAGGAUUGUCUCGCUCACAGGCUGGGCAUGAUGCUAUUUGGGUGAUCGUGGAUAGGUUAACGAAGUCGGCGCACUUCGUGCCUGUUCAUACGACUUGGACCGGAGAGAAGCUCGCACAAGUGUACCUUGAUGAGAUUGUGCGACUUCAUGAAGUGCCUACAUCGAUUGUAUCUGAUCGCGACACGCGUUUUGUGUCUCACUUUUGGAGAACUCUGCAGGACGCCUUAGGCACCCGAUUGGAUUUCAGUACAGCAUGCCACCUGCAGAGUGAUGGACAGUCGGAGCGCACUAUACAGGCCUUAGAGGAUAUGCUCCGGGCAUGUGUGAUAGACUUCUAGGGAGGAUGGUCGCAGCAUCUACCUAUGGCGGAGUUUGCUUAUAACAACAGUUAUCAAGCAAGCAUCAAGAUGGCGCCCUUCGAAGCACUUUAUGGACGGAAGUGUAGAUCGCCGCUUCAUUGGAGUGAAGUUGGCGAGAGACUGGCUUUAGGCCCUGAUGUGCUCCAGGAAGCUGAGGACAAUGUUCGCAUUGCUCGUGAGCGACUUGUGACGGCGCAGAGUAGACAAAGGAGCUACGCCGACCGACGACGGCGAGACUUGGAGUUCCAUGUAGAAGACCAUGUUUUCUUGAAGGUCUUGCCGACUAGAGGAAUCAAGAGAUUCGGGAUUCGGGAAAAGUUGAGCCCCCGUUUUAUUGGACCGUAUGAGGUUUUGGAGCGUGUAGGUCCGGUAGCGUAUCGACUUGCUCUACCGCCGAACCUAUCGGGCGUACACAACGUCUUUCAUGUAUCGGUCCUUCGAAGGUAUAUUCAUGAUCCAGCUCACGUUUUGGAGACUAUACCAGUGGAACUGCGUGAGGAUUUGAGCUUUGAGGAGCAACCAGUGAAGAUUUUGGCUCGCGAGGUGAAGAAGCUGCAGAAGCGGGAUAUUCCAUAUGUGAAGGUACUUUGGAGCAACCACGGGGAGCGAGAGGCCACGUGGGAGCUGGAGAGCGCUUUGCAGGAGCGCUAUCCCCAUCUUUUUCAGAUGGAGCCUUAAGGUAUGCUUUUUCUUUUGAGUUUCGCGGACGAAACUCCUUUUUAGGAGGGGUGAAUGUGACGCACUGGACCUCGCAAAUUGUGGGGUUCGAGUGAUUGAUUGUGUUCUGAACUUUUCCAGACUUUCUGGUGGGUCGUUGACAGUGUUCGGACCUAUGGUUCGAGUCCCGAGAAUUGUGGUUUAAAGCUGUGUACCAAAAUCCAAAAAGUUAGAUUUUUGGUCAGCUCUCGGGAAGCCUGCAGCAGGCUGUGUACCGAUACGGGCUUGGUGGCUGUACCGGUACAGGGUUGAUGGCUGUACCGGUACGGGACCGCGUACCGGUACACAGACGAUUUUGAGGCAAACCCGAGGCUCGGGUUUGGCCAUUUCGUGGGUUGUGUACCGGUACACAAACCCGUAUACCGGUACGCAGUGCAGAUUUUGGCCGUUUCGUGGACGGGUGUUUUUACAAUUGUUGUAACCUCUAUUUAAGCACACCCCAGCCCCUUGGGGGCUGUUUUGAGCCCUAGAACAGUGGAGAGCAAGGUAAGAGGAGUUCCUUUGAUUUCUUCGCCAUUUUUGUUGGAUUUUGGCUGGUUUUGAUCCCUCCUCUCUUCUCCACCUUGCUUUUUGUUGGGUUACCACCAUUGUUGAAGGCUUGGAACUUAGAGAGGAGCUUGUUUGAGAGGAGAUCUUCAACUCCACUUGGCUUGGGACUUGGUUUUCAGUUUCUUGUGAGGUUAGUAAGCCUAAUCUUUCCUUUGGAUUAAGUUUGGUAGCUUCUACUAGAUCAAACCUCAGAUUUGACAUAUUAGGGCUAAAAAUAGAGAUUUUUUAUUUGAGGGCUUUGGAACCAAAUUGAUGGGUUUAGAACCUUUGUUUAGGUUAGAUUGGAAGGACUCUAGUUCCCAUUUGGAGAUCGAGAGAGCUUCCUUCGCAAUCGGUGAGUUUUCUUCAACCCUAGCCCUAAAUGGUUAAUGAUUGAGCUUAGCGUCAUUCGUUUCGAUUGGGUGACACUUGUUUUCAUACCUCUAGGAUACUAGGAGGCUAGAGGACACCCUCGUCGGAGCAAAUGAAGGGUUUCGUUUACCGUUGGUGGGUUUGACUUCAUGAAAAUGGGGCGAAAUGGCCCCUAUGCUUUCUAAACUUUUCGUAAAGUAUUUUUGAAUGCAAAUUCAUGCUAAACAUGAUUUAUGUGAAUUUUAGAACACUUAAAAUGCAUACAUUAUGUAUCAUAAAAUUUACACUCUAUAUAGUGGAGCUAUAUGUGUAGAUUGCAUGCAUUGUAGAUUGUGUUUCGUUUCGCAAGUGAGAACAUGUCUCCAUACUAGAAUUGAGUGAAAUUGUGCAUCAUAAACAUAUUAAUACCAUGCUUGGACUCGUUGAACAAAAGUGUCAUAAAGGGGCACUUAAAAUUAGUAAACUGUGAAACUGCAACAUAGAGACAAAUUGAUAGGCCAUUAUACAUCUGCUAUAUUCCAUGUUAGAGACAUGAUGACAUAGAGAUAGGCCAUUGAGACACUUGAUAUAUUUCAUAUUUUUAGACAUGAGGACUUGGUACUUGAGACAGAUCAUUGCUUACUUGCCAUUGUGCUCAUUCGCACAUGCUUGUGAGGGUCGCUCCCUACAAGCCGGCACUCCGGAGAUAGCCAUCGCGACAUAUGCUCGCCCGUGCGGGAUUGGACGCCGAAGUGGAUUGCCGUGGGGGAGGCUCAUCCCUAGAGUGGGGAUGUUGACUACCACGGGGCCAUUAGGCACGGCGCAGGCCAGACAACCUUCGGGUGGGUCUUGUGAUUGAGACUUAGUGACAGAACAUGCUAUGUGAACUUUAAAACUAUUAAAGUGGACUUGGACUAGAAUAGUAAACAAUGACAUCUUUACUAUUUUUGCAUUGAGGACAUCGGAUUGGUUGCAUUUCUAUGCUUAUCCAUGUCAUACACAUCCAUGCACAUUCAUGUUAUCGUUGCUUUAUUACUUAUGCAAAUGAAGCUAAGUAGAGACUUUAUGUUAUAGUAAUUUACAUUUUUAUUUACCUUUCGCCUUACUAUAUUGUUAGUCACUGACCUCUUUUUGUAGCUUUUGGGCUUUGUGGCGCAGUUCACUGAAGUCAGUAAUUGCCCACUGGGAACGAUUUUUAAUAGUUCUCACGCCCUCUUAUUCGUUUCUUUCAGAGCCUUCUGCACCGGCGGAGGCACGGGAUCGCGGCAAGGGGAUCGCAUAGCUAGCUAGCGAGGAGCGAUUCUUUGCCUAGGUGGUCUACUCUUUCUUUUUGUAGUUGAGAGAGAGUGAGAGAUUUUGUAUCCAUGUAUAGAGACCACCUGUGUAUCUACUUAUAACACUUGUGUUUGGAAUUUUCUUUGUAUUACUUUAUGCUCUUAUUAGUGGAUUCCAGCUUUAUAUUUCUUUC